UACGUAGGGGGCAAGCGUUGUCCGGAAUCAUUGGGCGUAAAGCGCGUGUAGGCGGUUCGGUAAGUCGGCUGUGAAAGUCCAGGGCUCAACCCUGGGAUGCCGGUCGAUACUGCCGGACUAGAGUUCGGAAGAGGCGAGUGGAAUUCCCGGUGUAGCGGUGAAAUGCGCAGAUAUCGGGAGGAACACCAAUGGCGAAGGCAGCUCGCUGGGACGUUACUGACGCUGAGGUGCGAAAGCGUGGGGAGCAAACAGGG
rnacentral:rRNA from 1 species